AUCAGAAAACAAAAUUUUUAAUGCAAUAUUUUUUUCAAUAUCUUAAUACUACUUCAGAGUUAAUUACUGCGGUAGCUGCUGUUGUUGAAAUAAUUUAAAAAAACGCAGAAAAAAUCAAAAAGCUAAAAAGAUAUGGGUGAGAAAAUAGAUAGGCAGCAGAAGUAUGUUUGGUGCUUCUGCAACACUUUUAAAAGUUGCUGUAGAAGAUCCCAAAAGCUAUUUUUAUCUUUUUACGCAUAAAUGAUAAAAUGUUUAAUACGUUAGCAAAUCAGGUUAGCAGUAAGAUACAAAAGAAUAAUACAGUUAUGCGAAUGCCUCUAUCAGCAAAGCUAAAACUUCAAAUAGCUUGUCGAUAUCUUGCUACUGGCUACUCACUGGAAUCUUUGCAGCUCCUUUACCGAGUGCUAAUGUAUAAAAUAAGCCAGUUUCUCAGAUGUCUUUGACGCCAUAUACGAAGUACUGAAAGAUUAUGUUAUGGAAUGUCAUCAUCAUUAACGUACAAUAAAUUUGAAUAUCUUUAAUUACACAAAACAUUAAGAUAUUUAAUGGAAGCAACAGAAUAUUCAAAGAAAAUUUCACUAAGUAUCUAUAUACUAUUAUUCUUA